rnacentral:rRNA from 1 species
GAGGGUGCGAGCGUUAAUCGGAUUUACUGGGCGUAAAGCGUNCGUAGGCGGCUGAUUAAGUCGGAUGUGAAAUCCCUGAGCUUAACUUAGGAACUGCAUUCGAUACUGGUCAGCUAGAGUAUGGGAGAGGAUGGUAGAAUUCCAGGUGUAGCGGUGAAAUGCGUAGAGAUCUGGAGGAAUACCGAUGGCGAAGGCAGCCAUCUGGCCUAAUACUGACGCUGAGGUACGAAAGCAUGGGGACCACACAGGAUUAGAUACCCUGGUAGUCCAUGCCGUAAACGAUGUCUACUAUCCGUUGGGGCCUUUGAGGCUUUAGUGGCGCACCUAACGCGAUAAGUAGACCCCCUGGGGAGUACGGUCGCAAGACUAAAACUCANAUGAAUUGUCGGGGGCCCGCACAACCGGUGGAGCAUGUGGUUUAAUUCGAUGCNACGCGAAGAACCUUACCUGGUCUUGACAUAGUAAGAACUUUCCAGAGAUGGAUUGGUGCCUUCGGGAACUUACAUACAGGUGCUGCAUGGCUGUCGUCANNUCGUGUCGUGAGAUGUUGGGGUAAGUCCCACAACGAGCGCAACCCUUUUCCUUAUUUUUCAGCACUUCGGGUGGGAACUCUAAGGAUACUCCCAGUGNCANACUGGAGGAAGGCGGGGACGACGUCAAGUCAUCAUGGCCCUUACGACCAGGGCUACACACGUGCUACAAUGGUCGGUACAAAGGGUUGCUACCUAGCGAUAGGAUGCUAAUCUCNCAAAGCCGAUCGUAGUCCGGAUUGGAGUCUGCAACUCGACUCCAUGAAGUCGGAAUCGCUAGUAAUC